CCUACGGGGUGCAGCAGUCGAGAGGCUUCGGCAAUGGGGGAAACCCUGACCGAGCGACGCCGCGUGGAGGAUGAAGGCCUUUGGGUUGUAAACUCCUGUCAUGUGGGAAGAAACGCUACCGUUCGAAUAGGGCGGUAGUUUGACGGUACCACAAGAGGAAGCUCCGGCUAACUCCGUGCCAGCAGCCGCGGUAAUACGGGGGGAGCGAACGUUGUUCGGAAUCACUGGGCGUAAAGGGUGCGUAGGCGGCCAAGUAAGUGAUGUGUUAAAUCCUCCGGCUCAACCGGAGAACCGCAUGUCAUACUGCUUGGGUUGAGUGCAGCAGAGGAGACUGGAAUUCCCGGUGUAGCGGUGAAAUGCGUAGAUAGCGGGAGGAACACCAGUGGCGAAGGCGAGUCUCUGGGCUGUUACUGACGCUGAGGCACGAAAGCCAGGGGAGCAAACGGGAUUAGAUACCCCGGUANUC
rnacentral:rRNA from 1 species